UUUUGGGUUUGUUUUGGGGUUUUUUACUAACAAAGCUGAUAGAGGAGGUGCUCACCCCCUCCAGCCCCAGCUCCUGCAGCACUCCCAGGCUCCAGCUUUGCCUUGGCUGCUGGUCUCCAUAAAUCUCCAGUUCCUGUGGAAAUCAGGGGGAUCCAUCCAAGGGAUCCAGCAGAGGUAUUGGGCAAAGCCUGGUCCAGGUGUCAGGGAAUCCUGGGAUGAGCUGGUGCUGAAACCAAACCACUUCCUCUGCCUCUUCACAGUUAUUCCAUCAUUGCUUCUCCUGCUUCUCCAACACCAGGAAUCCUUCUCUCCUGCUCUGUGCCCUCAUCACUUUCACACCCUGGAAUUGUGUGAAUCUUCUCCCCUGUUUUUUUUGUACAAAUUGUGGAGAGAAGGCACUUUAGGCUGGACUAAGCAGAGCCUGGACAUUGGAGCAAUUCCAGAGCAGGAGAAUCCCAGGACCAGGAACCAGGAGUUUUCCAGGCUCUUGGAGAGUAUUUCCAUGGCUGUGACUAAGGGAGCCUGUGGGGCACGUGGAGCUGUGGAGGAUGAAAUUCCAAUAAUAACAAUAAUUAAUAACAAAAAUCAACAACAAUAAUAUUUUAUAUAAUAAUAACAUUUAUAUAAUAUAUAAUAAAAUAUGUAAUAUAUAUAACGCAAUACAAUAAUACCCCCCAAACCCCCCAAUUAAUUUCCCACCAUUUUGUUCUUCCAUCAGUUACACCCCAGCUUUCCCUGCCCAAAUCCCUCCCUUCUGAUCCAGGCCCUGAUAUCCAUUUACUCCUAAAAACCAGAAGAACAAACAUUUUGGGAAGCCUGACCCCUCCCAGGCCCCCCAUGGCCCCGCUCCCAUGAUGGAAUUCCAUUGCAAUUAUUGGCCUCAUUUCAUAUUUUAAUGUAAUUACGCUCAGCCUUUGCUCUAAUAAAUGCCUGAGCCAGGAAUUCAGACAAGAAAUUCAGACACUCUGAGCCUGCUGAGGGAAAGGUGAGGGUGCUCACACAGCUCUGCUCCCAAAUCAAUACAGAAUACAUUCAUAAAUUAACAAUCAUUCCAGAGCCAAACACUCAUUGCUGGAGGAACACUGCAUAAUUAAA